GCGGGGCGGGGCGGGUGGAAGAUAAUGCCCAUCUUCCAUUAGCAGCAGGAUGUAUGAGCACAGAUGACAAUCCGGUCCAUGCUGUUCAUCAGACAAAGCCUGAAUCCUGGAAAAAGCCAACUCGUUGAACAGGAAUUAGAGUGUGAUCGGCUCAGUUGACGCACAGGGGUAGAAACCUUUAUUUGAAGCCGAUGAAUGACUUGUCGUGGGCGAGCUCUUCGGGUGCUAUUAAUACUUUCCGGUCACGGCGGAGACGCUGGCUGUUGUUCGGAAAAGAACUACGAAUCCCAGAAUGCCCUGUUCCCCAUUUUCCCCGCGAGAAUCCAAGGCAUUGUCCUACAUAAUGGUAGAGGACGAACUGGCACUAUUCGAUAAAAGCAUAAAUGAAUUUUGGAAUAAAUUCAAAAGUACGGACACCUCCUGUCAGAUGGCAGGACUAAGAGAUACCUACAAGGAUUCCAUCAAAGCAUUUGCAGAAAAGCUGUCUGUGAAAUUAAAGGAAGAAGAACGAAUGGUUGAGAUGUUUCUGGAAUAUCAAAAUCGUACUGUGCUAAAUGCCUUACGUUGACCAUCUCCUUCAGUCCUCAUGACAGUUCUUCAGGAGAUCAGCAGGCAAAAUAAGCUCAUUCAAGAAAAAAAGGAUAACUUGUUAAAAUUGAUUGCUGAAGUAAAAGACAAAAAACAGGAAUUGGAAGUACUGACUGCAAAUAUCCAGGAUCUUAAGGAAGAAUAUUCUAGGAAGAAGGAAA
rnacentral:sRNA from 1 species